AAUGAACGUUGGCGGCGUGGAUUAGGCAUGCAAGUCGAGCGAGAACCCCGCAAGGGGGGCCCGCGGCGAAAGGGACAGUAAUGUGUAGAUUAUCUGCCCUCAGGUCCGGGAUAGCUGCGGGAAACUGCAGGUAAUACCGGAUAACAUCUCCGGAUCAAAGGUGUGAUUCCGCCUGAGGAUGAGUCUGCAUCCUAUUAGCUAGUUGGUGGGGUAAUGGCCUACCAAGGCAUUGAUGGGUAGCAGGUGUGAGAGCACGACCUGCGUCAUUGGGACUGAGACACUGCCCAGACACCUACGGGUGGCUGCAGUCGAGAAUCUUCGGCAAUGGGCGCAAGCCUGACCGAGCGACGCCGCGUGUGGGAUGAAGGCCUUCGGGUUGUAAACCACUGUCAGAGGGGAUGAAAUGCAGGUGGGUUCUCCCAUCUGUUUGACAUAGCCUCAGAGGAAGGACGGGCUAAGUUCGUG
rnacentral:rRNA from 1 species